AGGAUCUCUACAUCCACGUUGGCUGGCCUCUGUACCGCAAGUACGGACACGCCUUCGAGGCGUUUAAGCUCGUGGUUGCUGAUCCGGAUGCGAUUCUUGACCCGCUCACUCGUGAAGUCAAGGAGGUCGGCGCAGAUGGCCAGGAGGUGACGAGGACUGUGCCUGCACUGACCGAAGAGGUGAAGGAUGCGCUGGUGAGGAACAUUCGCAGGAGGAUGACCCCGCAGCCGCUUAAGAUCCGGGCUGAUAUUGAGUUGAAAUGCUUCCAGUUUGACGGGGUUCUUCACAUUAAGGAAGCUAUGAGGAAGGCGGAGGCUGUUGGGAAUGAUGACUGUCCGGUGAAGAUCAAGCUAGUUGCUCCACCGCUCUAUGUGCUUACUACUCAGACUCUUGACAAGGAGCA
rnacentral:misc_RNA from 1 species